CAAUGAGCAGCAGAUUCGUUGUACAUGAUUUUAAUACAGCAUGUCAUUCCUCUGUUCCUGCACGAGGUGGCCUCGCGUCCGCAGUGCAGCCCCACAGGUCGCUAGGCUGACUGUCCAUCUCAUGGCAACACAACUGGCAACCUGGGUGGGCUUUGGCGCCUGACGCACUCAGUGAAUUUUGGCUGCCUUGUUUUUGUGAGAUGCAUCUUAGGUGCUAGUUUCCUCAAUAUGACAUCCGUGGUAAAAUUAUUGUAAAUGCAAAUAACUAAAGACACAUUUCUCAUAACCAGAAUUAAUUCCCGGCCUUACGUUUCUUUUUGUUGCAGAAAAGGAACAUUGCAAGUGAGCCUUUUUACAUGGUUAUUUUAAUAAGAUUUCGAGAAAAUCUUUUCAAGAAGUAUUCGUUUACAAAAUUGUUUGUUGCGCCACUUUUUACUUAGCCAGCAGGGCGCUCAUUCUUGGCUUGUUUGAGCUUUAGAAACCCUCAGAGCCCCUUUAAUACUAGUUCCUUGCCCCACCCCUCCCAGGUGCAGUUUAUGUGCAGUCCUGAGGACUAAUAGGUUCUCUUCUUCCUUGCUGAGUUGCAGGUAGCUGAGAGUGGUAGACAUUUGCCUUUCACAUGUAAGCUAAAAUAUUGCCUGAUGUUUGCUUUAACCUUCUGAUAUGGAAUAAGGACCCACUGUGUAAUAUGCAUAGAAAUCAGUACUAAGUUUUGCAAAAAGAAAAUGGUUUAAAUUAGACGUGGGUCAGAAAGCUAUAGUCUCUGUGACAGGAGAAUCAUGAGUUCAAUUCCAGUCUGGGCAACAUAUAAACUCCAUCUCAAAAAAGAAAAAGAAAAGGUUUUAUUGCACUGUCACGGACAAAGAGCUAGUAGAAGCUUAAAUUUGCCUCCCCAGUCAGUUGCUGGUAGCAAAUUUACAGGAGGGGAGAGGGGGGAAGUUGCUUAUAGAUUGAAUGGCAUGAAAGGGGAGUUUGAGGGUUCUUUUAUGCAGGCACAGGUGGUUAUCAUGCCUCUUUACAGAUCAAAUAUUUCUAAUAGGGGGUGGUAACAUGUUCUGCUCUGGGGACUUUAAGGCUGGGACAUGACAUUCUAAAGGUCAUUGAUCAGAGGAUCUACUUUGCAUAUAUCCAUUCUUGAAAAGACUGUUUCAUAUGAUCCCUAAGUGGAGUCUGUAGGAUUUUCCUGAAAGAUAGCUUAAGCAUUUUGCUAUUUAAGGACUUUAUCUCUGGGUGUGUCCAGAUUCUUAAAUGGAUUUAAUUCUGUUUUCAUCUUUUUGUAGAAAUUCUCAUGCUUUCCUUCCACCAUUUCUCUUUCCUGGAAGUUAAUAACAGUGGAUUUCCCUUCUAAGGGUAGCUUGAAGUGUAAGCAGUAACUUUGAUAUGAAGCAAGAAAAAAGUUUUAUUCUCUCUUCCUUUGGCUGCAAGUAUUUCAGGAAGUUCAAAAUGAAAGUAAAGAAGACAACAGAACAGACAGCUCAUACCACAGUUACAUUUGGGGAGAAGAUGGCCACUUGGUGACAGGCCAAGAUUAGAGUGGUGCUGCUAUAAGCAAGGAACACCUGGGUUACAAGAAGCUGGACGAGUCAAGGAAGGGAGACUGUUGGUCCCAGUGGAUCUCCUGAGCUAAUAAGGAAGAUGCUCAGCUCUGUUGAAAACCAUUGCCUCUUCAAGCAAAGAUGGUUUCUUAAUCCAUUUUCUGCUUCUAUAACUGAAUACAACAGACUGGGCUGGGAAGAGCAUGGUACCAGCACCGCUCAGCCUAUGUCAAGAACCCAGGCUCUCCCAGGUUUGGCUCUGGAUUUGGUUGCCUGUGGUGUUGGUCCGUCUUCCCAGCUGGCUCCAGGAGGAGAUUAGGACGAGAAGUCAGCAGAAGCUCACAGGCAGACAGAGACACCACAUGAGGACACAUGGAGAAAAUGGCCAUCUCUAAGGCAGGAAAGAAGUGGGAGGACUCCAGCCCCUCCAGCACCUUGAUCUUGGACUUCCACUUCCAGAACUGUGUGGAAAUAACAAGUCUGCUGUUUUAUAUCACCCAGUUGGUGAGAUGUUGUCAUAGCAAUGCUAGCAAAUUAAUAUAGCCGGUUGAGGUAGUCAACAAAAAUCCAGAGAAGAUACAAGUCAAAGCAUGCCAAAGUCGCCUGGCCACCAUUGUACCAUUGCAAGUACCGUGUAGCAGAUUGCCUCCAAUCAUCUGGUCACAAAGAGUGCAGCAUGAUACCAAAUAACCUUGGAUCAUACAUGCCCAGGUCAAGUACAUCUUAGACAUGAUAGUACUUAUUAGUUUCUCCCACGAAUAUGGAGAAUUGCUUUUGGUAGAAUGCAAGCUAUAUAUUUAUGAUGCAACUUGUACUUUAGGAAUAUCUCUUCAUUUCCUCUGUAUUGCUUUUUGAGUGUGUUAUGAUUUGGUUGUGGUGUGAGAUAAUGCAAGAAGGUUUGGAGGAGAAAUGACUGUGUUAUAGCCUUCACCUAAUCAGUGAACUAAUCCUUGAUAGGACUGAGUGGUAGCUGGAGGCAGGUGAGGCAUGGCAGUGGGGUAUAUAUUUUUGAUCUAGAGAGUGGAGCCCUUUCUCUGCUCUCUGAUCCUGAUGUGAGCUGCUUCCCUUCCGCCAUACUCUUCUGCCAUGAUGU